rnacentral:rRNA from 1 species
AGAGUUUGAUCCUGGCUCAGAGCGAACGCUGGCGGCAUGCCUAACACAUGCAAGUCGAACGCCCCGCAAGGGGAGUGGCGGACGGGUGAGUAACGCGUGGGAACCUGCCCUUUGGUUCGGGAUAACCCGGCGAAAGCCGUGCUAAUACCGGAUGUGUCCUGUGGGAGAAAGAUUUAUCGCCAAAGGAUGGGCCCGCGUCG